GCCGGGCAUGGUGUUGCGUGCCUGUAAUCCCAGCCACUCGGGAGGCUGGGGCAGGAGAAUCGCUUGAACCUAGGAGGUGGAGGUUGCAGUGAACCGAGAUCGUGCCACUGCACUCCAGCCUGGGUGAUAGAGCGAGACUCUGUCUCAA
rnacentral:SRP_RNA from 2 species